GCAGCCGCCGCGGUAACACGGAGGGUGCAAGCGUUACUCGGAAUCACUGGGCGUAAAGGACGCGUAGGCGGAUUAUCAAGUCUCUUGUGAAAUCUAACGGCUUAACCGUUAAACUGCUUGGGAAACUGAUAAUCUAGAGUAAGGGAGAGGCAGAUGGAAUUCUUGGUGUAGGGGUAAAAUCCGUAGAGAUCAAGAAGAAUACCCAUUGCGAAAGCGAUCUGCUGGAACUUAACUGACGCUAAUGCGUGAAAGCGUGGGGAGCAAACAGGAUUAGAUACCCCCGUAGUCCCUGUCUCUUAUAC
rnacentral:rRNA from 1 species